GAUGAACGCUGGCGGCGUGCUUAACACAUGCAAGUCGAACGGGAAACCUUUUAUUGAAGCUUCGGCAGAUUUAGCUGGUUUCUAGUGGCGGACGGGUGAGUAACGCGUGGGUAACCUUCCCUAUACAGGGGGAUAACAACCAGAAAUGGUUGCUAAUACCGCAUAAGCGCACAGGGCCGCAUGGUCCGGUGUGCAAAACUCCGGUGGUAUAGGAUGGACCCGCGUUGGAUUAGCCAGUUGGCAGGGUAACGGCCUACCAAAGCGACGAUCCAUAGCCGGCCAGAGAGGGUGAACGGCGACAUUGGGACUGAGACACGGCCCAGACUCCUACGGGAGGGAGCAGUGGGGAAUAUUGCACAAUGGGGGAAACCCUGAUGCAGCGAGGCCGCGUGAAGGAAGAAGUAUCUCGGUAAGUAAACUUGUAUCAGCAGGGAAGAUAGUGACGGUACCUGACUAAGAAGCCCCGGCUAACUACGUG
rnacentral:rRNA from 1 species